GACGUAGGGCGCGAGCGUUGUCCGGAUUUAUUGGGCGUAAAGAGCUCGUAGGCGGCUUGUCGCGUCGACUGUGAAAUCCCGCGGCUCAACCGCGGGCUUGCAGUCGAUACGGGCAGGCUAGAGUGUGGUAGGGGAGACUGGAAUUCCUGGUGUAGCGGUGAAAUGCGCAGAUAUCAGGAGGAACACCGGUGGCGAAGGCGGGUCUCUGGGCCAUUACUGACGCUGAGGAGCGAAAGCGUGGGGAGCGAACAGG
rnacentral:rRNA from 1 species